rnacentral:pre_miRNA from 1 species
AGACCCUGGUCUGCACUCUAUCUGUAUGCUUACUGAAGGGAGCGCAGGGCAGGGUUUCC